rnacentral:lncRNA from 1 species
AGGUAAAAGAAAAUUCCAACAAAAGGUCUUAACAAUCUAUUAGGAUUAUAGAAAAUUUAUAAUUAAACGUUAACAAAUCAUAAUCAAAUAUUAAGCAAGUUCAAUUAAAUUUUAUUGAAGUUAUAAAAGAAACACAAGGAAAUCCUAAAGAAAUAUAAAAGAAUAUUAAAGAAAACUUAGUCAAAUCCUAACAAAAAUCUAAUAGAACCUUAAAUUCUAACCAAACCCUAAUCCUAAUCCAACCUUAAUCAAAUCUUAGAUAAAUCCUAAAUCCUAAAUCAAAUCUUAAUUAAACCUUAAUCAAACACUAAAUCUUAAAUCAAUCCCUAACCAAAUCCUAAACCAAACCCAAAACCCUAAUCCAAAUCCAAAUCCAAAUCCUAAACCCUAAAUCAAAUCCUAAAUCAAAUCCUAAACUCUAAUCCAAACCCUAAUUCAAACCUUAAAUCCUAAAUCAAAUCCUAAAUCAAAUCCUAAAUCCUAAAUCCUAAUCCAAAUCUUAAACCAUAUCCUAACCCUAAUAAAUCUUAAAUCCUAAACCAAAUCCUAACCAAACCCUAACCCUAAACUCUAAUCACAGAUUUGAAAAUUAAAUAACUAAAGAUUGAACCAUCGAUUCUAAUUCAAAAUUUUUACACUUCUUGGAAUAUAAGUAAGAAACCAGUACACAAAUUUUGAAGAAAAUCACACUUAUCAAUUAGUCGAUGACCUCAAAAUUCUGCUCACAUGUUGGCUAGUCUCUCCUUCUCCAAUCUUGAUGCCAACUUCUAGCACUGAUAUCUCCCUUUUUCACCAUUCAAGUGCUUCUAAAUUUUACUUACGUAUAGAAAAUCAAGUCUUCUACUGAUAAAACUAAAAAUCUCUCCAAGCUAAUUAGCAAAUUGCUAGAUAUCUAAGAAAACCUUACUAGUCCUCAAAUCCCUAAAUUCCAAGACCUUAGCCCACAAAACCUUUCAUAUGUAUCGAUCUAGCCAUUCGAUUGACCUCAAAUCUCUUACACAUAUUCACAACAAGCAUACCAAUAAGUCU